CGGGGCAUGGCGCAGCCUGGUAGCGCACUUGCCUGGGGGGCAAGGGGUCACAGGUUCAAAUCCUGUUGUCCCGACCA
rnacentral:tRNA from 3 species